UUUAUUUAGAUUUGUUUUGAAUUCAGUUACGGAAGGUUUUAUUUUCAGAGAUAUGUUUGUUUGGAUUUUUGGAUCUUUAUGAAAGACUUUGUUGUGUUUUCCAAGGUUA